GUCUCUGGCAGAGAGAGUAACCAUGGUGGUGAUGACAGUGAUGCGUAGCCUGCCUUUGGGACCCUUUUCCUCCUACCGGGAUGCCUAGUCCAGCCUUAAUUGGAGAGAAGAGUUCAAGGAACCCCUUUGAAGAGAAAGAAAAAGAGUGUAAGAGCCAGGUGGGAUGGAGGACACCAGGAGAACAAGGCUCAUAUGAACUCAGAAGCUGAAGCAGCAAGCACAGCAAGCACCUGUCUGACCCAGGUGUAGAAGAAUUUUAAUUCAGAACAUGGCUCCUCUGGCAAGAGAUCUCAUCAAAAGACCUUCUAGGUCAGUAUGAUCCAGCUGGAAUACAGACAGGCCUUGCCAGGAAACAGAGACAAGCAGAUCUCUAAGUUCAAGACCAGCCUGGCAUAGAGCAAGUUUCAGGUAUUCAUUCAUCUACAAAAAAUGGAAAGACACCUACAAAAAGACUUCUGCAUGCAGAAAAACAUAUCAAGUGAAGAUUAAUUUUAACAUGUCAGAAAACAUGUGCUAAGUAAACAAAGCCAGAACAAAAGAGUGCAAAUCACAUGCAGCAGCUGCUCUUGUCGCCUUGAUGGGAUUUGAACCACCAUGAAAACAUAGCUCUGGGCGUGUCUGCAGGAGUGUGCCCAGAAAGGGUGAAGUGAAAAGGGAGAACUCGCUCUGGGUGUGGGGGUCACCAUCCCACAAGGGAGAUUCUGGAGGAAGGGAAAAGCUCUCUAGUGCCAGCGCCCAUCUCUCUCUGCUUCCUGGGACCAGCCGCCUCAUGUUCCUUCCUGUUGAUGUCCCUUCCACCAUGAUGUGCUCUCAAAUUAUGAGCCAGAAUAAACCUUCCUUCCAUGAGCUGCUUUUGUCAGGUAUGGUGCCUCAGCAAUGAGGAAGUAAGUAAUAUAAUGCAUCAUUUAUAAUUCUUGAAUUGUGAAAACUACUCUACGGUGACAAAAAGCCAGGCUUGCUGGAGCUGGAGUGAGGAGAUGCAGUGCAGAGCAGCUUGUAGCCUGCAUCUAUCUUAUGCUGAUAGCGUCAUGGGUGCCUAGGUUUAUUAAACAG